UUAUUAUUUGUAGGGUUGCUCACUGUGUGUUGAGGUUAUCUUGACACAGGAGGAGAGGCUCCAAACACCUGAUCUGCACCGUGUUUGUGCAGCCACAGUGAAUCAGUGCUGCUUUGCCCUUUUGCUGCUCGGAGCUGCUGCCUAGAUGUGAAGUCUCAUUCAGUAAAUGAUGCAAGGAUUUGGGAAGCAGAACAAUGAGUAGAGACGGUGUCCUGCCAGUAAUUGCUGGAAGCAGAGGAGAAGGGAGCUGUAGGAUAUUGGCACGUGGAGAAGCGCAGAGAUAGUCCUACUCUG